GCGCUGCUGAAGAGUCUCACAAUAGAACGAAACGGCCGUUCAGUGC
rnacentral:hammerhead_ribozyme from 1 species